UAGAAAAAAUGGCGGCGCCCUGUGAGUUCUGAUGCGUGGUUAACAGCAAAGUUGUUCUUGACAAUUAGUGGGGAUUACGGAAAGACUAAAACCCGAUCGAUAAAGGCCCAAAUACCAGAAACAAAAAGCAGAGAGAUAAUCAGCCACAAUGGGGAAUAUAUUUGGUGUCCUUUUUAAGGGUUUAUUUG